rnacentral:lncRNA from 1 species
AUAUCAUUGGAAUAAUGACUGCAAUUAGAUUGCUAAUUUUAAAAGGUUAUUUUAAAUAUUUUAAUUUUAAUUUCUAUUUUAUUUAUAUAAAAAUCGUCAUCGCAUAAGAAUUCUCUUAAUGAAUUCUUGCUAACAUUGACUAUUUAUGUAUAUUGAUUCACGUUGAAAUCGAGAAAAACAUCUGAACAACACACAUAUUCUAAAGCAAAUCAUGUUUUGAUUAAAAUUAUUAUUCGUGUUACUGGCGCCAAUAAGAUUUUUAACUUAACCAAGAUGAUCUCUGAGGAAUGUUAAUGUCUUCCUUGACUUUUGUCUUUUUCUUAACGGUUUUUUUUAAAACUGUAUUUUUUAAUAUUUUGUAACUUUAUUUUUCCAAACCAGAGAUGAGAGAAUCCACAUUACAUUUUUUGCAUUGAUGAUUAAGGAAAUUUAUACCUUAAAAAAACAUUGAAUUUUUUAUAAUAAAUAAAUAAUAUAAUACGUGAUUAAAAUACAUAUGAAUACAAUUUUUUGAAGAGUAUAUAAGUAUAUUUUUACUGUAACUAAAAAAAAUCACUUUAGUGAAAAGAAGAUACGUAAACAAGAUAUAAAAAUGAACGACAUGAUUACAUUCCAACGAUCAUCGCUUUUUUGGAUGGGUCUUUUACAUUUUUCAUAGAUGACUUUGCAAUCACCGUGUGACGUGUAUUGCCAUAUAUGGUCCGGAAUAAUUGAACAGAUUAUCCUACACCGGUUGAUUUGUCGUCGAUUAAUCGGACUUGUGACUAAUUCGCGUUAUCAAGCGGUCGAUCGUAACGUCGAACGUAAAUCGUCUUGUUUGGACGUGGUCAAACCUCGUUCAGUGUAGAUCAUUGACCAAUGCGGAAGUUGAGGACAUCGACUCUCUGUGUAAGUGGAAGAUCUCUGUAAAACUGUGUAUUCUAUCUUCUUAAUUCUCUUUCUCUCUCUCUCUUUUUUUUUUAUCAAUUAUAAAGCAUGGAUUACAAGAUGUACAAAUAAAUAUUAUAACACAUGAAAAAUAAACUGGUAGGUUAAACUGGGUAAACUGGUAAUGGCUAAUUCCAUUACGAUUUUAAUUCCAUCUAAACUCGUCAAUUAUUUUGUCAAAACUGAAAUAAAUCACAGAAAUUUUAAGUAAAAUUGAGAAAGAGAAAGAGAAAGAUGGAAAGAAUCGAAAGCAUCCCUUUCUGGGUUAUAUACUUUUUGCCAUUUAUCAUAUAGCCCUAGACUUCAAUAUUUAUUGUUUCUGCCCCCGAUACGUAGGCCAGGCCGGGCCCGCCUUAGGUAUGCAAGCGCACAUGCAAGCCUUUUCUGCAGCUGCAGCAAUUCACCACAAUAUCCAAUCGACGAAGCUUGCUGGCGGGAUUAAAAGGGCCACUGGCAAUCUGCCAAUAAGGCUGACAGACUCAUUAACGGAUAACCAGCGACAAUUAAGGAGCAGCAAGAAAGGCUUGAUUAGUGGCGACGAGUAACGAGACCAGCACGAACAAAGACCACGCGAGGACAAUCAUCCUGGAUCGUAGUGAUCACUGAGAAGUAUUGAUAGCGAGUUGAUCAACUUGCCAAAUUUCGGAUCAACCAGGCUUCCACUACGGUUACGAUUUCGCGCACCUGACCGGUAUACACGCGUGUACGUAUCCGUAAUAAUUUGAUUGGUAUUUCAAAUUAAUGUUUUCUUCUUAAAUGUAUAUUAAAUAUAUAAAUAUAUAUAUUCUUAUAUAUGUUUAUAUAUGUAUUUAUGUAGAUAUGUAUAUAUCUGUAUAUUCGUAGGUAUGUGUGUGUACGUGUGUCGAAGGUCUUAAUUCGGCGUCGCUAGUUCUCGGACACGUUUCUCUCGAUGAACCGGGCCGUCGGGCUCAGACUCGGCUCUACCGACUUCUCCGACCAGUUAGCCAGCAGUGAACUGCUCGUGUUCCUGCCUUGGGCAUCGUAAUAUACAUAAAGUCGCCAGAUAAGCCGCAGCUGACACCCCACCACGAACCCGUCGUGGGACGGUCCGUCUUCUCGCUCGCUUACUCUCGAUGGAACAGCUUGAAAUCCUCUUCUUCUCGAAACCGCCCCGCCGCUCGUUCAUUCCCUCUCUCUAUCGCUCUUUCGCCUUUUCUGUACCACGUCCCUGUACACGUGUUCCCGCGAUGCGGAUUGCAGUUCGCAAACAUCAGCCGACCUGUGCAAAAACUACCGUUGCAAACGGGUUUCUUGACUGUUUAGACUUAACUCCGAUAAAAGUUUUUGAUAUUUUGAUAUAAGAAACGUGAUUUAAAGACGCAACUCUAUCAUUUUCUUUUUGUUUUAGGUAAUGACAAGAACGAUAAUAAUGAAUAUUUACAUCGAGUUUUUUGAUCGCUUAAAACUUGAUUCAAGUUAAAGAUUUAUAAGAUUUUUUUGACAUGAUAAGUAUAAUUUCAAUUCUGAUUUUUUCGGAAGUGUUUUGACGAAGAGAAUAUUAGUGGAUAUUAACUCUCUGGAGAAAUGUGUAUUUUUGAAGUGAUACAUGGUUGGCUCUUUCUAGGAAAAUGAGAUAUCAAUCACUUGUGAAGUUAUUUAAGUCAGUUGCCGCUAAAAGACAACUAAAUCUAAAUGUCAUCGUACGUCGAGCAGCAAACGAGUUGUAUUACCAUAAUCUCAUCGCAAGGGCAAGAUUAUAGCCGCGUUUCUAUUCUGCUAAUUCCAUGUUAAACAUUUUUGCCUGAAACGCGACCUUCCGGAAUUUAAUCUUUUUUAUGCAUAUUAUAUUCGUUUCAGUUAAGUAUGUCUUUUUUCAAUUACCACGUCGUGUAACAAUUGUACAAUAGUUGUCAAUUCGAUCGUUUAUCAAAAGUUUGAAUGUAUUCUUUGAUGCUCUCAAAACUGUCGAAUAGAAUAGCUAAUCAAUUAUUUUACAAUUUAAAAUAAUUCAGAGAUAAAAAAAAAUUCUUUCGUUUGAAUAAUAAAUAUAAAAUUCAACGAGUUUAAGUUUUCCUUGUUGUGUAAAUUAUUUUUCGAAAAAUUAAAAAAUAUGAAUUUUUAAAUAAAAACCAUUGCUAUUGUUUCA